rnacentral:rRNA from 1 species
CCUACGGGAGGCAGCAGUGAGGAAUAUUGGUCAAUGGACGAGAGUCUGAACCAGCCAAGUAGCGUGAAGGAUGACUGCCCUAUGGGUUGUAAACUUCUUUUAUAUGGGAAUAAAAUGUUCCACGUGUGGGCUUUUGUAUGUACCAUAUGAAUAAGGAUCGGAUAACUCCGUGCCAGCAGCCGCGGUAAUACGGAGGAUCCGAGCGUUAUCCGGAUUUAUUGGGUUUAAAGGGAGCGUAGGUGGAUUGUUAAGUCAGUUGUGAAAGUUUGCGGCUCAACCGUAAAAUUGCAGUUGAAACUGGCAGUCUUGAGUACAGUAGAGGUGGGCGGAAUUCGUGGUGUAGCGGUGAAAUGCUUAGAUAUCACGAAGAACUCCGAUUGCGAAGGCAGCUCACUGGACUGCAACUGACACUGAGGCUCGAAAGUGUGGGUAUCAAACAGGAUUAGAUACCCGAGUAGUC